GACGAACGCUGGCGGCGUGCUUAACACAUGCAAGUCGAACGGAAAGGCCCUGCUUUUGUGGGGUGCUCGAGUGGCGAACGGGUGAGUAACACGUGAGUAACCUGCCCUUGACUUUGGGAUAACUUCAGGAAACUGGGGCUAAUACCGGAUAGGAGCUCCUGCUGCAUGGUGGGGGUUGGAAAGUUUCGGCGGUUGGGGAUGGACUCGCGGCUUAUCAGCUUGUUGGUGGGGUAGUGGCUUACCAAGGCUUUGACGGGUAGCCGGCCUGAGAGGGUGACCGGCCACAUUGGGACUGAGAUACGGCCCAGACCCCUACGGGAGGCAGCAGUGGGAAAUAUUGCACAAUGGGCGGAAGCCUGAUGCGGCAACGCCGCGUGCGGGAUGACGGCCUUCGGGUUGUAAACCGCUUUCGCCUGUGACGAAGCGUGAGUGACGGUAAUGGGUAAAGAAGCACCGGCUAACUACGUG
rnacentral:rRNA from 1 species